CUGCUCGCAAGGGACUCCACUAAAGGCAGAGACUUCGCUCUUUCUCUGUCUUUCCUGACUCUGGCCCGGGGUUCCCGAAGGCUCAACUGCUGCUCCACCGCUGAGGACAGCCCUGUCUCAGGAAGGAACCAUGAAAGAGGGAGCAAGCACCAAGUGCGAUCAUUCCCUGAGUGUGACACUUUUACUUCUCCUGAGCUUCGUGCAAACCACGCUGUCCCAUGACACACACUCUCUGUGCUGCAACUUCAUUCUCAUGCCUGGUACCACACCUAGAGAGUGCCACUAUGCAGUAAAGUGCUCAGUGGAUGACGUGGUUUUCAUUCAGUUUAAUGAAACUGAGGUCGAACUUUCGAAUAACAUGGGAAAAACAGCAGAUGCCACCAACGUAUUGACAGAAUUCAAUCGAAUCCUGAUAAGUGUUUUAGGAUUGUUGAAUCUACUACUACUUGACAUGAAAACAGAGACCAGAGGUAAGUGUGGGACAGGAUGGGGUAAGCAUGGGAUAGGACCUAUCAAUAAGACCAAGGAAGUGGGCAAGCUUAGGAAGUGGGCCGUGGAUGUAUUGCCAUAAAAGAGCUGAAUAUUGAUCCAAGCUGGAAGUACAUGGUACCUAAUGAGUAAGAAAUGGCAAGCCAGGAAGAAAGAGCACAGGUCCCUAAGUGUGCAGAGAGAGACCUGACCACUGAGGGGGAGACUGUAAGGGUAGAAGAUGAUGAUUAUGUGUGACAUUUGCAGGAGAUCACAUCUUACAGGGCACCAUGAUAACUCAGUGUACACAAGGCCAACUCACUAAUGCUUUCUAUAACCUCACCAUUGAUGGACAUCCUUUCGCAAGCUUCAAUUCAAUUAGCAAGAAUUGGACAGUGUAUAACAAUGAUACCAUAAGGACAUGGAAGAUAAACAGAGAACUAGAACGGGCUCUCAGGACGUUCUCCAUGGGAGAUUCCCUUCAGUGGCUCAACAGAUUCUCACCACACCGGGAAGAAAGGCCAAGUAAGUCAUUAGGUGGUUAGGGCAAAGCGACGU
rnacentral:lncRNA from 1 species